CUCGAAAGUUGGCCUGGUAAUGGACUGCUUGUGCAUGAGCUAACCAUUAGCUGGCAUUGAGAAGAACCUUCAUCAAGAACAAAAACACUGACUCAGGACGAGGAGGACUUUGACAAGUUCCUGGAGAGUGCCAAAGCUCAGCAGCUCUCACCCUCCACAAAAGUUCCCGAGCCAGCCCCACCCCUCACUGUCUGACUCGGAAGAGGAGAUAGACUUUGGAUUCUGGGAGAAGGCGUCACCCUACCCUCGGACAAGACCCCAACCAAGGACCUGAACUUGUUACGAGACUGUAAUUUGUCUGUUUUUGUAGUCAUUCCGGCAAAAAAAUUAAAUAUGUACGUAUAACGUACCACCAAGGGCAUAUAAAA